GGGCUGGUAGGAUAGCACGGAAAAUCCGCCCCCUUCGUAAGGGGACUUUCGUGGGUUCGAAUCCCAUCCAGCCCA
rnacentral:tRNA from 1 species